rnacentral:rRNA from 1 species
AUUGAACGAUGGCGGCAGGCCUAACACAUGCAAGUCGAACGAGUGGCGGACGGGUGAGUAAUGUAUGGGACACUGCCUGAUGGAGGGGGAUAACUACUGGAAAGGGUAGCUAAUAACGCAUACCAUCGGAUGUGCCCAGAUGGGAUUGGCUAGUAGGUGGGGUAAAGGCUCACCUAGGAGACGAUACCUAGCUGGGCUGAGAGGCUGACCAGGCACACGGGAGCUGCGACACGGUCCAGACUCCUACGGUGGGCAGCAUUGGGUAAUAUUGCACAAUGGGCGCAAGCCUGAUGCAGCCAUGCCGCGUGUAUUAAGAAGGCCUUCGGGUUGUAAAGUACUUUCAGCGGGGAGGCGUUACCCGCAGAAGAAGCACCGGCUAACUCCGUGCCAGCAGCCGCGGUAAUAC